rnacentral:rRNA from 1 species
UACAGAGACUGCAAGCGUUUAUUCGGAUUCACUGGGCGUAAAGGGUGCGCAGGCGGCCGUGUGUGUGAGGCGUGAAAGCCCGGGGCUUAACCCCGGAAUUGCACCUCAAACUACAUGGCUAGAGCAUUGGAGAGGGUAGCAGAAUUCAUGGUGUAGCAGUGAAAUGCGCAGAUAUCAGGAAGAACACCCGUGGCGAAAGCGGCUCUCUGGAACGGUACUGACGCUGAGACGCGAAAGCGUGGGGAGCGAACAGG